GUCUAUAGCCUCGACUUUAAUGCUUCAUGGGGGACAGUUCUUUACUGUGUUUGAACACCGUUGUGUCCGUAGAUGGCGCUAUAGCUAAUUGCACAUGUGUAAGGCAAGACAAUAGCAAUUUGGAUUCCACGCUGUUGUACCGUGAAAACUAGAAGGAACAUUCAUUUUAGCGACUUGGUUCUCUCGUCAACUCUAGUUCAAAGUGUAUAAGCUAUAUGCUCUGAAUUGGACAAUACAACAUGUUGAUUAUCAAAUUGUUUUACUACAAUUUGAUGAACUCCCGAAACAAACGAAGAUCAAGGAUUUUUUGGACAUCAGACCGAAAAUUGUUGAACGCAGAGUCACCUACAUCGAUGGUGAGUUCUGUUCUAUUAUAAAUAACUAGCGUUAAGUGUUGUCAGGUUACUGAGUAAGAACGUAAUGACUGUUUUGUAUUAAACAAUGACUGUUUCCAAUAUUCUAUUAACAUUGGAAUUAUUUAGUCAAAGUCACUGGUAGCUGAACGCAAGUUCUAAACCAUUGGGGGGAAAACAAGUUAUAGAAACUGAGCUUGAAAAAAAAACAGCGUUGGCCUGAGAUUAAAUACCUACAGUAACCCUUGUUUCUUCGUGUGUCCACAAGUUCGGGUGUUUUGUGCUUCUUCGCAUAGUUGAAACAGGUAGGGUAAAAUCCUUCGCUAACUAAAUCUUAUUUCUUAGGGUAUCAACAAGUUCGAAUUUUAUAAUAUGUAGUUACUACUUGUAACUUUUAUCAACUGAUACGUAACGUUAGCUAAAUCGUGUUUCUAUGUGUAACGUAAUCCACAUCAUGUGGAUAACGUUACUUUUGGUAGUAAAUUUAGAUAGACUAGCCAAACCUGGACCUGUUGCAAUUCCGUUACUGAGGUGUCUGUGUGUCCACAUUGUUCUUAGGUAGCCUGUGUCUGUCUUAUGCUGCCGGUUUUUAAAACUUAUUUUCUAAACAUUGCUUUCAGGUGAUGACGUUUUCUGUAGUUUUGUUGCCGGACCAGGAUGACUGUGUGGCAGCAGUUCCACGCCAGGAUGGAGCAAGCACAGUACUCUAAGGCACCAGAGAGGUACUCCAUGCCACCAUGUAGAGGAUGGCUACAUAGGUAAGUGUGGGUUCAUUCACUUAACCCAGAUGCUUAACUUAUUAAAGCAUGUUGCUUCCAAUUUUAUUUGUCAAUUUCAAUUAAGGGCAAGAAUGCAGAGGCAGGGGGAAGUUUUAGCUCUGCACAUGAAGAACAUUUGGAGAAGAUCAAGUGGCUGACUGAAGAGAAGGUUGAGCUGAGGGCACAGCUGGCUCUACAAUCAGGAGCCAUAAGGAAGAAUCCUUCCAACUGGGAUGCCACUGACGAGGCUGUCCAGAACCAGGUCCCCAGGUACCAGAAAGGGGCAGCUGCCCGUGCAGGUGGGAGAUGUCGCGGCGGUACAAGGGACCUGCCGUGAAUAUGAAUGACAUCUCCAGCACAACCAAUAUUGCUGCUAAGCUGCAGUACUGUAUUUCUUUUUUAUAUAUA
ensembl:lncRNA